rnacentral:rRNA from 1 species
AUGAACGCUGGCGGCGUGCCUAAUACAUGCAAGUCGAGCGCACAGACGAGGAGCUUGCUCCUCUGACGUUAGCGGCAGACGGGUGAGUAACACGUGGAUAACCUACCUAUAAGACUGGGAUAACUUCGGGAAACCGGAGCUAAUACCGGAUAAUAUAUUGAACCGCAUGGUUCAAUAGUGAAAGACGGUUUUGCUGUCACUUAUAGAUGGAUCCGCGCCGCAUUAGCUAGUUGGUAAGGUAACGGCUUACCAAGGCAACGAUGCGUAGCCGACCUGAGAGGGUGAUCGGCCACACUGGAACUGAGACACGGUCCAGACUCCUACGGGAGGCAGCAGUAGGGAAUCUUCCGCAAUGGGCGAAAGCCUGACGGAGCAACGCCGCGUGAGUGAUGAAGGUCUUCGGAUCGUAAAACUCUGUUAUUAGGGAAGAACAAAUGUGUAAGUAACUAUGCACGUCUUGACGGUACCUAAUCAGAAAGCCACGGCUAACUACGUG